UACGGGGGGGGCAAGCGUUGUUCGGAAUUACUGGGCGUAAAGGGUUCGUAGGUGGCCAACUAAGUCAGACGUGAAAUCCCUCAGCUUAACUGGGGAACUGCGUCUGAUACUGGAUGGCUUGAGUGCAGGAGAGGAAUGCGGAAUUCCAGGUGUAGCGGUGAAAUGCGUAGAUAUCUGGAGGAACACCGGUGGCGAAGGCGGCAUUCUGGACUGUAACUGACACUGAGGAACGAAAGCCAGGGGAGCAAACGGG
rnacentral:rRNA from 1 species